GGCAGUAGUGGUGGUAUCCUAGUUCUGAGCCUAGGUCUCAAGAAGUCUUAUGUGUUUCUGCUUAUCCUCUUAUACCUCUGCCAUCACCAUGAGCCAAACAUCCCCCAAGUAGCCCACUGGUCCCAGGACAAGGAGGGAGACAUGGAGCAGAGCUCAUCCAGCUGCUGCAGCCCCACUUGACCCAGAGACCUACACUGGGAAGCAGAGCUGCCCAGUCAAGUCCAACCUGGAUGUGUGGAACCCCAGCCAACCUGAUGCAUGAGCACUCACGGCAUUGGAAGACAUCAUAAACAUUAAUGGAGAGCGGGAUGCCAGAAUAAGUUGAUCCAAAUGAUGCAGGAAUAUUUAGCAGCAAGGAGAAAGGAAUUCACAUUUCUCAGUACCCACUGUGUACCAUACUUUGUGAUAAGAUGGUUUCCCUCCAAUAUAUCCUCAUUGUCAGCAAUGUCGGGAAACAGGAAUCAUUUCCCCUUCUACAGGUGAUAAAACUGAAGCAAGAAACAUACAGGCUAACAUCAGCUGAGCUGAGAUUUGAACUCCACUCUUUUUGACCCUGGAGCUGAUGAAUGCUGCUUCUAGAGGUUGAGUAUCCCUUAUCCGAAAUCCUUGGAACCAGGAGAUUUUUGGAUUUGGGAAUAUUUGCAUAUACAUAAUGAGAUAUCUUGGAGAUGGGACCCAAGUCUAAAUACAAAAUUAUUUUGUUGUAUAUACACCUUGUACACAUAGACUGAAGAUAAUUUUAUACAAUAUUUUAAAUAAUUUUGUGCGUGAAACAAAGCUGUGACUAUGUCUUGACUGUAAGACAUCUUGCAUGCAACCCAUCAUAUGAGGUCAGGUGCAGAAUUUUCCAUUUGUGGUGUCAUGUUAGUGCUCAAAAAUUUUCGGAUUUUGGAGCACUUCAGACUUUCGUUUUCCAGAUGGGGGAUGCUCAACCUGUCUUAGAACCUGUGGUCUCCCAUCAUGCCUCCCUUCCCCAUUCCCUUGCUCCACUGGGGUCUGAGGUGGGAAAGCAAAAGGAGUUGCAGGUAACCCUUACUUUUCACACCAGGCAAUCUCUCCCCACAAUCCAUCACAUUCCUGAAGAACAAGGAAGCAGAGCACUCCACUGAAGAAAUUCUGUUAAAAUCUAUCCCCAACGUAUAAGCAUCCAUCUUUGUCCCAGUCUGGGUCUAACAUGAACAAAGUGCUUGAACAAUUCAGUAGAGGAGAAAGGGAACUUGGAGCAGCUCCGUCGCCCUGAAGUGACACUGCCAUGCUGCAUUUCCUGUCUGUAAUAUCUCUUCAGAGCAAUUGUUUUCUUCUGUGAGGACACUUCAGAGAUUCACAGAGACAGAUGCUCUUGUGACUGACCAUAGCAAGUAUCAAAAGGCCUGGGUAGAAUUACGAAGCAUUUCUCGUGCACUGCGUAUUGGGAAGUGCUUCACAGCUGUGUGGCAGAUGUGAGUGGACAGAGGGGCAAGGGAACUGCCCCAAAGGAGGUGGCAGAGGAAGCAACAAGCCAGGGAUUGGCUGGCCGGUCCCAGCACAGCAACUGCACAGCAGCUUGCUAAGUUUCACAGGUGAAGCCAAAGGCUGGGGGGAAUGGAAAACAAAUAUAACUCCAUUAAAUUAAGGUCUGAGGAAAACAUGAUGAGGAAAGUCAAUAGUGAAUCAAAACAUUGAAAAGCCACUAACUUUGACUUUCCAUGUGCAUGUGCAAGUUCACGUGUGCAGGUGUGUCUGCGUGUCCAAGUUCUACACUGAUUCAAGAAAUAAUUAUAGAGGGCCUGCCAUAGGAUGGUGAGCAAAACAGUCUUGGCCUCUGUCCUGAUGGAGCAUGCAGUAUCACAGACUCUAUAUGUUCUAUUUCUAGGCCUUGUAUUUUGAGGAUAUAUGCCAGUGGAAUGAGAAUGGCUCUGUGACCUUGUUUAAGUCCCACCAGUGUCUCAGGCAGGGUUUUCCAAAGUGUAGUCCUUGUACUAUUAUGUGGUGAAGAUGCUUAAUUGUUUUGUAAUUAUUUAAUGUGCGUAGGUAUCACAUCAAACCCAGUAUUUUCAAGGAUUUUUAUAGCUUAAGACAAGGCUUGUUAUAGGCAAGGUGGAUCAAUUCAAAAAAUAUAUGCUAACAAAAUAAUAGUGGAGGUGGUACAAAGAAACAGCAAAGGUAGUGAGAUGGCUUCACUGGUGUUUGUGAAUCACCAAGAUAAUGCAGGUGGAAAUAAAAAUCAGUGUGGUCCAUAGAAACACAAGGGGUUCUAAUUACCCCUCAGUGAGCACUUGCUCUCUCACUCACCCCAGCAAUGACAUAUUAAGCAAAGCACUGCCCUGACUGCAUAUGCUCUUGCUGACAACUUGGCCAGCAUUCAGAAGACACUAAGUGUGCUCUGGGAACUUCAGAAGGCACUAACAUUCCAUGGAGAACUUCACAAAGAGUGAGACCUAGUCCCUGGCCUAAAGAGAGUAUAAUUUAGUAGGAAAGAAAAGACAAGCACACAAAUAACUGUAAAAUGGGAUAAGCCCCAAAGUGGAGGUACAAAGUCCCAUAGAAGAGGCUCAAUGAUCAGUCACGCCUGCCGGGUAAGGUCAAGAAAGACUUCGUGGAGAUUUGAGAUGGCAUCUGAGAUAAGCCAGGAAAGACGGUAGAAUUUCAACAACCAAAAAAGUGGGGAGAGGGAUGGGAGGCAUUCCAGAGAAGGAGAAAUGCUUGAGCAAUGGUACAGAGACCAGGAAGUUAUAUGAGGGCAGAAAGUCCCUGCUGUCUAUUUAGCUGGGAUAUAGAAUGCAAGUCAGUUAGAUGAUUAGGUGGGGUUAUAACAUAACUAGCCUUAAAUAGUGGACUGAGAAUUUUCCACUUAAUUUAAUGCAAAUGGCAGGGGAGGGGGCAGGCAAUGGAGAGCUGAAAACAGGACUGGAGAUGCGCUGGAGGGAAGUAACCCUGGAAAUGGGUGAAGUACGGGUUACUGUCACCCCAGCUCUGGUUCUUGUUAUUCCCUAGGAGAAGCAUAAUAGAAGUGUGAAUUUAGGGUAGCCAAAUGAUGACUUUGCAGAGGGAAUCUUUAGGACUUGUGACUUGAUUAAAAGCAGGGAGAUGGAUAGGGAACAUCCAAGGAUAACUAGAUAACUAGAGCUCUCCUGUUCCUCUGACUCAUGUGUGCUAAAACUGUAGAGUCAAACAAACACUUGUAAGUGGCGUGAUGUAAAUCCCUUAGGGGCCCAUGCCUGCCUCAAGAGAAGAACGUGUGGUCAGGAAAAACGACCGGGGGAAGUGAAAACGACACAAGACCCAGAGGAUAACCCUUAUUUUAUUCACACAUGCAAAUUUAGGCACAGCAAAAAGCAAAACGAAGCAUACCAAAUGUCAAGGGUUAAUUAUUAAUCAUUUCUAUAUUAAAUUAUGAGUUUUUCAGUAAGACACUUUUUGAUAAGAAACUUGAAUUACGUUCAUAACCAUCAAAAUAAAGAAAAUGAAAGAGACAGAUUUUCUUUGGUGGUGGGAGAACAUUAAGUAUUGUGGAAGCCUGAAAAAUGGUCCCCAAAAGAUAUCUGGUCCUAAUCCUUAGAACUUGUGAGUGUUAUCUUACUUGGAAAAAGGGUUGUUUUAAGAUAAGGAUCUUGAGUUGGGAAGAUUGUCCUGAAUUAUUCAGGUAGGCUGUAAAUGCCAUCACAGGCAACCUUUUUACAUGGAUAUUUGACACAGAGUGGAGGAGACACCCAUAGGAGAAGGCUAUGUGAAGACAUAGCAUCGAGACACUUGAAGAUAUUGGCCUUCAAAUGGCACAGCCACAAGCAAAGGAAUGCCAGCAGCCACCAGGAAAAAGCAAAGAAUGGAUUCUCACCUAAAGUCUCCAGAGGGACUGUAGAGUAUCCUGCCAACACCUUGAUUUUGACUCUGUGAAACUGAUGUCAGGCUUCUGGCCUCCAGAACUGUGAGAGAAGAAAUUUCUGUUGUUUUAAACCUUCGAAUUUGUGGUAAUGUGUUAGAGCAGCCACAGGAAACUCAUAUUCUAAACUAGCAACUAUGAAAUGAGAAUUUCUAGUGUUCAGCUAAGAUACCACCGCAGAAGCAGCUGGAUAAUAUCAGAUGAGCCGAAAACUUCUCUUACCCCAUUUCCUUAUCCAUAAAAUUAGCAAAUAAUACCUGUCUUGCAGAGUUAAUUUUAAAGUUAUACAAGCAAAUACACUUUGAAAGUGACAAGUACUAGAAAAAUGUAGGGAAUUAUCCUACAAGUCUGGGUAUCCUCAGCACCCAAGGCACAUGAAUGAUGCACAAUAAAAUAUACAAUUGGUUAGAAAUAGAACAAA